UGUUGUGGGAGAGGACAGCUCUGGCGAAUGGCUUGAACACCCUUGAACUUCGCUUCUCCGAGGGGGAAGGGGGAGGCAUUCUUUUGUUUACAAAUCUCUACACAACCCCCUUUUUUUCCGGAGGGGGACGGAGUACCCACAAGAAAUCUUCGCUAUUUGGAGGUAGUUACGCAGUAUGGUUAUUCAAAACCCGUCCUAUUGCGUCUGGAGUAUAAUGAUGCAUUUAGAUACCUGCAUUCAGGAGCCAGAAUAACCUAAGUUAAGGUUUGUGCCAACAUUACAAUACUUCUUACAACAUAUUUCUGUUGUUUCUACUAACACAUUUCAACUCAUAUGAAAAAAACAUAGAGACGUGAAAAACAAACAAGGGCCCAAAUCUACAUUAUAGACGACGGAGAGAAGUUUGACACCCAUAAAUAAAGGUACUACUACUAUCAGAGAAACAACUUUCCACACAUUCCUGGUGCUCAUCAAAAGAAAUUGGACUGAUCAUUUGCAAGCAGAGCAACACUAAGGCUAUUUUGGGAUGGGCAUUGUAAUUCUGAACCACAGCCAGAUUACAAAGACGACACCUGAGAUGGCACUCCCUCUCCAAACUUCCACACCACACCAGCGGAAGGACGUUUGGCCCCGACAGAUUUAACGUGCACCAGACCUGCUUACACGAUGGUUCUUCGGUGGAAUCAUGUCUUGAACCAGAAGCUCUCCUGUUCCAAAGCCGAGACCUUACCACCAGGCAACCGCGGCCUAUAGAAAUUGAUAAAGCACAUUCUAUAAUCUAUAAAAAUCUUUUUUUUUUAUUUGAUUCAAUUUUUCGAUAUAAACGAUAUCAUAAAACAAUCAUAUAAAAGAUUUGUUUCCUCA